GCUAUGAAGUCGUUCGUAGAUGCAGCUCAUCUAUUGUUAUUGGCAGAAAUUACAUCGUAGCAGAGUUACAUCGUGGCAGAGUUACAUUGUGGCUACAUGAAAACAAGUGUCUAAAACUUGGUAGUAUUGUGAUACAGUGCGAUUCACGCGUCGUGUCAGGAGUGUCGUAUAUAUAAAACAUCGCGCGUCGGGAGUGCCGUGUAAAGUUUCGCGCGUCGAGAGUGCCGUGUAAAGUGUCGGGCGAUCGUAAUUAUUCGUAUUUUCGCGAGUGUUGUGAGUGCUACCAAGAGAGGAGGAGGAGACAUCGGGCAACAGCGGGGCAACUGAGAGAUCAACAUGCUGUGUGCUACAACUCCGCUCAUCGUUUGCUGCAAUUGUACGUACCG